CCUACGGGGGGCAGCAGUGGGGGAUAUUGCACAAUGGGGGAAACCCUGAUGCAGCGACGCCGCGUGUGGGAAGACGGUCCUCUGGAUUGUAAACCACUGUCCCCAGGGACGAAGAUGACGGUACCUGAGGAGGAAGCUCCGACUAACUACGUGCCAGCAGCCGCGGUAAUACGUAGGGAGCAAGCGUUGUCCGGAAUUACUGGGUGUAAGGGGAGCGUAGGCGGGAUGGCAAGUUGGGUGUUAAAUCUACCGGCUAAACUGGUAGUCGCACUCAAAACUGCUAUUCUAGAGUGAAGUAGAGGCAGGCGGAAUGCAUGGUGUAGCGGUGAAAUGCGUAGAUAUUAGGCGGAACACCAGUGGCGAAGGCAGCCUGCUGAGCUUUUACUGACGCUGAGGCUCGAAAGUGUGGGGAGCAAACAGGAUUAGAUACCCGUGUAGUC
rnacentral:rRNA from 1 species